rnacentral:lncRNA from 1 species
AUGAUCUUUAUCUGAAUUUUCAUUUCUGGAAAUUUUCACAAUAUUGUGCUGUUUUUAUUGACAAUGUUAUAAGACCAGAAAACUCAAAAAACGUGUAUGUGUUUUUUCAAAGGUUUUCUUUUGAGCUCCCAUUAUGGAUAUCGUGAAUCCACUAAUAAAUAUCUUAUAAGUUUAUUUCAAAGAGAAGACAAUAAUAAGCAGAAUAGUUUGGAGUGAUAGGGAUGUCACAUGUUGAACAGUGAGAUGAAUAGCAGUCAUUGCACUUGAAGUAAUUUAUCAGAACAUUAAAUACUCGAAUUGAUAUUUAUUUUGUGGGUCAACCAAUUGAAAUAAGCGAUUGAGGUAAAGAACAAUUACAAAAUAAAACAAUUUUAAUAUUAAAAGAAAUUGACAAUAGAGGAAAAAAAGAAAACACUUAACCCCAAUAUAUAUAAAUACAAAAAGAAAAAAAAUUUACCUUCGGAAAAGAAUAUAUCAAACCAAAACUUUGAAACAAUUUCGCACAAUAAAUUAGCUAACAUUUACCAAAACAGUCAUCUAAGUAUUGAAACAGUGAGCCCAUCACAAAGAGGAAUUUCAGAAAUGAUAGCUGAACAUAUUUAGUUAAACACUGUCAAUUCAACUUUAAACCAAUAUUGAUUAUACAUUUCAUAUCUGUUGCCCUGAUUAGCUCCUUAGAAGUGGACCAUUAUCAAAAUUCGGUAUCAAUAUAGUAUAUAUAGCC